AAAGAUAGCCCCUUCGUACGAAAGGAGUUGGGUAUAUUGACCUAUGGUUUACCUGUUGUUUAUGUUAUAUAUUUAUGUAUAAUUUUAUACAAAAAAUAUAUCAUUUACUUAUACUUAAGUAAAUAGUUCGCAUAGGCAUGGCAGGAAGGCUACGUCGGUUAAAGAUAAGUGCUGAAAGCAUUUAAGCGCGAAGCUUACUUUAGGAUA
rnacentral:ncRNA from 1 species